rnacentral:tRNA from 2 species
GCUGCGGUAGCUCAGUGGUAGAGCGGAGGAUUGCAGCAAUAGCUCAUCAUCCUCAGGUCCUGUGUUCGAACCACAGUUGCAGCU